rnacentral:rRNA from 1 species
AUUGAACGCUGGCGGCAUGCCUUACACAUGCAAGUCGAACGGCAGCACGGGGCAACCUGGUGGCGAGUGGCGAACGGGUGAGUAAUGCAUCGGAACGUACCUUUCAGUGGGGGAUAACGUAGCGAAAGUUACGCUAAUACCGCAUAUUCUGUGAGCAGGAAAGCAGGGGAUCGCAAGACCUUGCGCUGAUUGAGCGGCCGAUGUCAGAUUAGCUAGUUGGUGAGAUAAAGGCUCACCAAGGCGACGAUCUGUAGCGGGUCUGAGAGGAUGAUCCGCCACACUGGAAGUGAGACACGGUCAAGACUCCUACGGGAGGCAGCAGUGGGGAAUUUUGGACAAUGGGGGCAACCCUGAUCCAGCCAUGCCGCGUGAGUGAAGAAGGCCUUCGGGUUGUAAAGCUCUUUCGGCCGGGAAGAAAUCGCACGGGCUAAUACCCUGUGUGGAUGACGGUACCGGAAUAAGAAGCACCGGCUAACUACGUGCCAGCAGCCGCCGUAAUAC